rnacentral:rRNA from 1 species
AGUGAACGCUGGCGGUAGGCCUAACACAUGCAAGUCGAACGGCAGCACAGUAAGAGCUUGCUCUUACGGGUGGCGAGUGGCGGACGGGUGAGGAAUACAUCGGAAUCUACUUUUUCGUGGGGGAUAACGUAGGGAAACUUACGCUAAUACCGCAUACGACCUACGGGUGAAAGCAGGGGAUCUUCGGACCUUGCGCGAUUGAAUGAGCCGAUGUCGGAUUAGCUAGUUGGCGGGGUAAAGGCCCACCAAGGCGACGAUCCGUAGCUGGUCUGAGAGGAUGAUCAGCCACACUGGAACUGGGCCACGGUCCAGACUCCUACGGGAGGCAGCAGUGGGGAAUAUUGGACAAUGGGCGCAAGCCUGAUCCAGCCAUACCGCGUGGGUGAAGGAGGCCUUCGGGUUGUAAAGCCCUUUUGUUGGGAAAGAAAAGCAGCAGGUUAAUACCCCGCUGUUCUGACGGUACCCAAAGAAUAAGCACCGGCUAACUUCGUG